rnacentral:rRNA from 1 species
CGCGUGUCUGAAAAGGCCUUCGGGUUGUAAAGGACUUUUGUCAGGGAGGAAAUCCCUAAGGUUAAUACCCUUGGGGGAUGACAGUACCUGAAGAAUAAGCACCGGCUAACUACGUGCCAGCAGCCGCGGUAAUACGUAGGGUGCAAGCGUUAAUCGGAAUUACUGGGCGUAAAGCGUGCGCAGGCGGUUGUGUAAGUCUGAUGUGAAAGCCCCGGGCUCAACCUGGGAACUGCAUUGGAGACUGCACGGCUAGAGUGCGUCAGAGGGGGGUAGAAUUCCGCGUGUAGCAGUGAAAUGCGUAGAGAUGCGGAGGAAUACCGAUGGCGAAGGCAGCCCCCUGGGAUGACACUGACGCUCAUGCACGAAAGCGUGGGGAGCAAACAGGAUUAGAUACCCUGGUAGUCCACGCCCUAAACGAUGUCAACUAGCUGUUGGGGGUUUGAAUCCUUGGUAGCGUAGCUAACGCGAGAAGUUGACCGCCUGGGGAGUACGGCCGCAAGGUUAAAACUCAAAGGAAUUGACGGGGACCCGCACAAGCGGUGGAUGAUGUGGAUUAAUUCGAUGCAACGCGAAAAACCUUACCUGGUCUUGACAUGUACAGAACUUUCCAGA